AAUGGGUCAGCGACUUAUAUUCUGUAGCAAGGUUAACCGAAUAGGGGAGCCGAAGGGAAACCGAGUCUUAACUGGGCGUUAAGUUGCAGGGUAUAGACCCGAAACCCGGUGAUCUAGCCAUGGGCAGGUUGAAGGUUGGGUAACACUAACUGGAGGACCGAACCGACUAAUGUUGAAAAAUUAGCGGAUGACUUGUGGCUGGGGGUGAAAGGCCAAUCAAACCGGGAGAUAGCUGGUUCUCCCCGAAAGCUAUUUAGGUAGCGCCUCGUGAAUUCAUCUCCGGGGGUAGAGCACUGUUUCGGCAAGGGGGUCAUCCCGACUUACCAACCCGAUGCAAACUGCGAAUACCGGAGAAUGUUAUCACGGGAGACACACGGCGGGUGCUAACGUCCGUCGUGAAGAGGGAAACAACCCAGACCGCCAGCUAAGGUCCCAAAGUCAUGGUUAAGUGGGAAACGAUGUGGGAAGGCCCAGACAGCCAGGAUGUUGGCUUAGAAGCAGCCAUCAUUUAAAGAAAGCGUAAUAGCUCACUGGUCGAGUCGGCCUGCGCGGAAGAUGUAACGGGGCUAAACCAUGCA
rnacentral:rRNA from 1 species